rnacentral:rRNA from 1 species
AUUGAACGCUGGCGGCAGGCCUAACACAUGCAAGUCGAACGAGUGGCGGACGGGUGAGUAAUGUCUGGGAAACUGCCUGAUGGAGGGGGAUAACUACUGGAAACGGUAGCUAAUACCGCAUACCAUCGGAUGUGCCCAGAUGGGCUUAUCUAGUUGGUGGGGUAACGGCUCACCUCGGCGACGAUCCCUAGCUGGUCUGAGCGGAUGACCAGCCACACGGGAACUGAGAAACGGUCCAGACUCCUAAGGGAGGCAGCAGUGGGGAAUAUUGCACAAUGGGCGCAAGCCUGAUGCAGCCAUGCCGCGUGUAUGAAGAAGGCCUUCGGGUUGUAAAGUACUGUCAGCGGGGAGGCGUUACACGCAGAAGAAGCACCGGCUAACUCCGUGCCAGCAGCCGCGGUAAUUC